rnacentral:rRNA from 1 species
UCGAGGAUCUUCGGCAAUGAGCGCAAGCUUGACCGAGCGACGCCGCGUGCGGGAUGAAGGCCUUCGGGUUGUAAACCGCUGUCAGUGAGGAGGAAGGCCCCGUGCAGAGCGGGGUUUGACCUAUUCGCAGAGGAAGUGUGGGCUAAGCUCGUGCCAGCAGCCGCGGUAAGACGAGCCACACAAACGUUAUUCGGAAUCACUGGGCUUAAAGGGUGCGUAGGCUGUGCAGAAAGUGGGGUGUGAAAUCCCUCAGCUCAACUGAGGAACUGCGCUCCAAACUACUGUGCUUGAGUGAGACAGAGGUAAGCGGAACUUCGGGUGGAGCGGUGAAAUGCGUUGAUAUCCGAAGGAACACCGGUGGCGAAAGCGGCUUACUGGGUCUCAACUGACGCUGAUGCACGAAAGCUAGGGUAGCAAACG